UACAGAGGGGGCAAGCGUUGUUCGGAAUUACUGGGCGUAAAGGGCGCGUAGGUGGCCUUCUAAGUUGAACGUGAAAUCCCUGGGCUCAACCCAGGAACUGCGUCCAAGACUGGGAGGCUUGAAUCCGGGAGAGGGAUGCGGAAUUCCAGGUGUAGCGGUGAAAUGCGUAGAUAUCCGGAGGAACACCGGUGGCGAAGGCGGCAUCCUGGACCGGUAUUGACACUGAGGCGCGAAAGCCAGGGGAGCAAACGGG
rnacentral:rRNA from 1 species